rnacentral:rRNA from 1 species
AGAGUUUGAUCAUGGCUCAGGACGAACGCUGGCGGCGUGCCUAAUACAUGCAAGUAGAACGCUGAAGAGAGGAGCUUGCUCUUCUUGGAUGAGUUGCGAACGGGUGAGUAACGCGUAGGUAACCUGCCUUGUAGCGGGGGAUAACUAUUGGAAACGAUAGCUAAUACCGCAUAACAAUAGGUGACACAUGUCAUUUAUUUGAAAGGGGCAAUUGCUCCACUACAAGAUGGACCUGCGUUGUAUUAGCUAGUAGGUGAGGUAACGGCUCACCUAGGCGACGAUACAUAGCCGACCUGAGAGGGUGAUCGGCCACACUGGGACUGAGACACGGCCCAGACUCCUACGGGAGGCAGCAGUAGGGAAUCUUCGGCAAUGGGGGCAACCCUGACCGAGCAACGCCGCGUGAGUGAAGAAGGUUUUCGGAUCGUAAAGCUCUGUUGUAAGUCAAGAACGAGUGUGAGAGUGGAAAGUUCACACUGUGACGGUAGCUUACCAGAAAGGGACGGCUAACUACGUGCCAGCAGCCGCGGUAAUACGUAGGUCCCGAGCGUUGUCCGGAUUUAUUGGGCGUAAAGCGAGCGCAGGCGGUUUGAUAAGUCUGAAGUUAAAGGCUGUGGCUCAACCAUAGUUCGCUUUGGAAACUGUCAAACUUGAGUGCAGAAGGGGAGAGUGGAAUUCCAUGUGUAGCGGUGAAAUGCGUAGAUAUAUGGAGGAACACCGGUGGCGAAAGCGGCUCUCUGGUCUGUAACUGACGCUGAGGCUCGAAAGCGUGGGGAGCGAACAGGAUUAGAUACCCUGGUAGUCCACGCCGUAAACGAUGAGUGCUAGGUGUUGGAUCCUUUCCGGGAUUCAGUGCCGCAGCUAACGCAUUAAGCACUCCGCCUGGGGAGUACGACCGCAAGGUUGAAACUCAAAGGAAUUGACGGGGGCCCGCACAAGCGGUGGAGCAUGUGGUUUAAUUCGAAGCAACGCGAAGAACCUUACCAGGUCUUGACAUCCCGAUGCUAUUUCUAGAGAUAGAAAGUUACUUCGGUACAUCGGUGACAGGUGGUGCACGGUUGUCGUCAGCUCGUGUCGUGAGAUGUUGGGUUAAGUCCCGCAACGAGCGCAACCCCUACUGUUAGUUGCCAUCAUUCAGUUGGGCACUCUAGCGAGACUGCCGGUAAUAAACCGGAGGAAGGUGGGGAUGACGUCAAAUCAUCAUGCCCCUUAUGACCUGGGCUACACACGUGCUACAAUGGUUGGUACAACGAGUUGCGAGUCGGUGACGGCAAGCUAAUCUCUUAAAGCCAAUCUCAGUUCGGAUUGUAGGCUGCAACUCGCCUACAUGAAGUCGGAAUCGCUAGUAAUCGCGGAUCAGCACGCCGCGGUGAAUACGUUCCCGGGCCUUGCACACACCGCCCGUCA